rfam:Gossypium raimondii Chr11_contig_694, whole genome shotgun sequence.
AGUCCAUGGUGUGGACAUUUUCUUAACAUCAUUUUGAAACGCUCCCAUGCCUCGUACAGGGUCUCACCUUCUUAUUGUUUAAAGUUUGUAAUUUCCCGCCGAAGUU